rnacentral:tRNA from 1 species
AGUGAUGUAGUUAAACAAUAACAUUAAAUUGCAAAUUUAAUAUUAUACUAAUAGUAUUAUCACUU